rnacentral:rRNA from 1 species
UGGGGAAUAUUGCACAAUGGACGGAAGUCUGAUGCAGCAACGCCGCGUGCGGGAUGACGGCCUUCGGGUUGUAAACCGCUUUUUCUCAUGACGAAGUUUUUUGACGGUAGUGGGGGAAGAAGCACCGGCUAACUACGUGCCAGCAGCCGCGGUGAUACGUAGGGUGCGAGCGUUGUCCGGAAUUAUUGGGCGUAAAGAGCUUGUAGGCGGUUUGUCGCGUCGAUAGUGCAAACUCAGUGCUUAACGCUGAGCCUGCUGUUGAUACGGGCAGACUAGAGAAAGGUAGAGGAGAAUGGAAUUCCCAGUGGAGCGGUGUAAUGCGCAGAUAUCUGGAGAAACACCGGUGACGAAGGCUGUUCUCUGGGCCUUUCCUGACGCUGAGAAGCGAAAGCGUGGGGAGCGAACAGG